CUGGGAUGUACCUUCAAGAGGCAGUGCUGACCUUCAGCCAUCUGAGACUUCCAAUUGUGUAACUAAUUAACUUUAUUUUCAGAGGCAUCACCCUUUGGCUGGUGUUUGGAGGAUAUGCAGGACUUUCGUGUCAUUUUGAGCCAAGAAUGGUUACAUGUUGUGUAUCUUCUCAGCAGCAGAUCUACACUGAUAUAUUCAGCUGAUAUGUGAUCAUGGAAAAGGUGCGGUCCAUCUCAGGCGGUGAUUGGUCGGUUAGACUUCAGCUCAGCAGGUGAAAGGCUGGGUCAGAGUUCUUCCCCCCCCAAAAAUCAGCUGAGAAGUAAUGUCACAGCAGGGGCACGGGAAUCCCAGCUCCUUCCUGUUCCAGCCGGCCAUGUCAGCCUUUUGUUCUUGGCAUAUGUUCAGGUGUUUGAUUGGUAACAUUUUGUUUUUUGUUAACCCUCCUGUUAUGUUCAUGGUCAGAUUGACCCUUUUCAAAGUUCAAAAA